UAUCAUCAGGUUGAAGAUUUG
ensembl:piRNA 21ur-1217 ncRNA